rnacentral:rRNA from 1 species
AUUGAACGCUGGCGGCAUGCCUUACACAUGCAAGUCGAACGGCAGCACGGGUGCUUGCACCUGGUGGCGAGCGGCGAACGGGUGAGUAAUACAUCGGAACGUACCUUAUCGUGGGGGAUAACGCAGCGAAAGCUGUGCUAAUACCGCAUACGCACUGAGGGGGAAAGCGGGGGAUCGCAAGACCUCGCGCGAUUAGAGCGGCCGAUGCCUGAUUAGCUUGUUGGUGGGGUAAAAGCCCACCAAGGCGACGCUCAGUAGCUGGGCUGAGAGGACGAUCAGCCACACUGGGACUGAGACACGGCCCAGACUCCUACGGGAGGCAGCAGUGGGGAAUUUUGGACAAUGGGGGCAACCCUGAUCCAGCAAUGCCGCGUGAGUGAAGAAGGCCUUCGGGUUGUAAAGCUCUUUUGUCAGGGAAGAAACACCGGCUCUAACACAGUCUGGGAAUGACGGUACCUGAAGAAUAAGCACCGGCUAACUACGUGUCAGCCGCCGCGGUAA